rnacentral:rRNA from 1 species
GACGAAGGAUGCAAGCGUUAUCCGGAUUCAUUGGGUUUAAAGGGAGCGUAGGUGGUCUUAUAAGUCAGUGGUGAAAUCUCGCAGCUUAACUGCGAAACUGCCAUUGAUACUGCAGGACUUGAGUAUAGUUGCUGUGGGCGGAAUAUGACAUGUAGUGGUGAAAUACUUAGAGAUGUCAUAGAACACCGAUUGCGAAGGCAGCUCACAAAACUAUAACUGACACUGAGGCUCGAAAGUGCGGGGAUCAAACAGG